AUUGAACGCUGGCGGCAGGCCUAACACAUGCAAGUCGAGCGGAUGAGCGGAGCGUGCUCCAUGAUUCAGAGGCGGACGGGUGAGGAAUGCCUAGGAAUCUGCCUGGUAGUGGGGGACAACGUUUCGAAAGGAACGCUGAUACCGCAUACGCCCUACGGGGGAAGGUGGGGGAUCUUCGGACCUCACGCUUUCAGAUGAGCCUAGGUCGGAUUAGCUGGUUGGUGAGGUAAGGGAUCACCAAGGCGACGAUCCGUAACUGGUGUGAGAGGAUGAUCAGUCACACUGGAACUGAGACACGGUCCAGACCCCUACGGGAGGCAGCAGUGGGGAAUAUUGGACAAUGGGCGAAAGCCUGAUCCAGCCAUGCCGCGUGUGUGAAGAAGGUCUUCGGAUUGUAAAGCACUUUAAGUUGGGAGGAAGGGCAGUAAGUUAAUACCUUGCUGUUUUGACGUUACCAACAGAAUAAGCGCCGGCUAACUCCGUGCCAGCAGCCGCCGUAAAAC
rnacentral:rRNA from 1 species